UUCACUGAACGUUAUCAGAACGUUCAUUGCUAGCUGGGAGGGUGGCCAACGCGAAACAGUUCGUAUUGCAGAUGGUCUCGGAGGGAAAUGAUUGAGUGAGCCAGGGAAGCUGUGGUAGGGCACUCCUGAAGCCAGGGCGUGGAGGAAAUGAAUCCACCGCAAAAGGAAGAACAUCGGGAAGAAAAAAAAUUUUUCAUUCAGGGGGCGUGCCGGGAAACGGUGAAGUACACGGGAGCCGCACUGGGAGUGACGGCGCUUGGGCUGACUGCCUUGGCUUUAAAAAAACGAAACCCAAUGAUCAUGCUACCAGUUGUGCCACAAAUUAUAAUUAUCGGAUCACAACUGGACUGCGGAUACGGGAGCUUGGUCGAGCGAAUUAACAGGCAGGCAGAAAGUAUAAAACAAUCAAGACCCCCAAAAUAAGGCUGCAGAGGCUUUUCUCGUCAUGUUAUUCUCAGAUGCCAACCUGUGUGCCAUCCACGCCAAGAGGGUCACUGUGUUCCCCCGUGACAUUCAGCUUGCCCGGAGGAUCCGUGGGGUGGAAAAGCUAUAAUAACAAUCCUAAUCCAGCGUCAGAAAUGACAUUCUCACUUAAGUUUGACACAUUUAUGUGUUUUCAUAUCAAGAGCAUUGUUGCUGUGUUAAAGGUUUUUUAAUUUUAUGUUACAUUGGGGGGGUCUUUUUUGACAUGUUGACUUU